AUACGGAGGGUGCAAGCGUUAAUCGGAAUUACUGGGCGUAAAGCGUACGUAGGCGGUUCGUUAAGUUAGAUGUGAAAGCCCCGGGCUUAACCUGGGAACUGCAUUUAAAACUGGCGAACUAGAGUUGAGUAGAGGGGAGUGGAAUUUCAGGUGUAGCGGUGAAAUGCGUAGAGAUCAGAACGAACACCAGUGGCGAAGGCGGCUCCCUGGACUCAAACUGACGCUGAGGUACGAAAGCGUGGGUAGCAAACGGGAUUAGAAACCCGAGUAGUCC
rnacentral:rRNA from 1 species